rnacentral:ribozyme from 14 species
UGCAUGUAUUUGUUGAAAAAGGGAAAAAGAGGAAGCAGAGAUGGAACUCACAUCUUGCAGUUUCUUUUCUCUCUCUUUUUCAAUUGUUUUUAGAAAUUUGUGUUCCUUCCUUUCUGAUAACAGUGCUAUCAUCAGCAUAAC